UUUGCAUCCUAGAUCCGCAACAAAGGUAGUGGAGGAGCAGGAAAAUGGAGAGAACGACAGUGGAGAAGGAGGAGAAGGGAGAGGAUGAAAGUGGAGGUGGAGGAGGAGGAGGGAGAGGAAGGGGCAGUGACGGCAACAACGAUGUCGAAGGAGAUGAGCAAGAUGAGAGAAAAAGGAGAGGCAUAAGGGUAUUUUGCUCAGAUUUAAAAAAUUGAAUCGAAAAUACAAAAUGCAAAAAAGUGGCCUUGUUUUGCAAAAAUGUUAAACCAAUGAUAUGUAAAUUGGCCAUUAUUAUUCCAAAUAAAAUAUAAUAAUAUGAAUCUAUGAUACGGUUUUAACUAUGAAGAAAUGAUAAAAAUAAUACUUGAUUGAAUAAUUAUUAUUAUUAUUUUUUUCUGAAAUAACUGUUUGAGAGAAGAAUUUAUUUUAUUUCAUGCUCAUAUUUGAUACAUACAUCUUUCUGAACUUAAGGUCUCUUACUAUAAUUAUAAAUUAAUUUCAAAUGCGUAAAAUUGAUGUGACUUAUGCAUUAUAAGAAUUUUUAUAAUUUAAAAAUGGAAUGAAAAUUUUAGUAGAUUUUGCCAUUGUAAAGAUAAACAUCUCGAAGAGUAAUUACUGACUUUUCCAAGAGUCUUCUCCUCUCUUUCUCUCUCUAACUCUUCUUACUAACUUCCUUACCUGCUUUCAUUCUCUCUGGCUUUUGACCGGAUUUUGUCUAGGUAUCCGGUCAAUCAGCUCGAAUUUUUAUUAUCACUAUUAUUUUCCUACAGUUUCACUUGUUGUUAGUAUCUAUAUUUUGUUCCACAUUCUUCCGCACAAUCAUCUAAUUUAGUCAUCUCCUUCUAGCUC
rnacentral:lncRNA from 1 species